UACGGAGGGGGCGAGCGUUAUUCGGAAUUAUUGGGCGUAAAGGGCGCGUAGGCGGCCCGGUAAGUCAAAGGUGAAAUCCCUCGGCUCAACUGAGGAACUGCCUUUGAAACUGUCGGGCUUGAGGCCGGGAGGGGGUAGCGGAAUUCCCAGUGUAGCGGUGAAAUGCGUAGAUAUCUGGAGGAACACCGGUGGCGAAGGCGCCCGCCUGGCCUGCUACUGACGCUGAGGUGCGAAAGCGUGGGGAGCAAACAGG
rnacentral:rRNA from 1 species